rnacentral:rRNA from 1 species
UGGGGAAUCUUGCACAAUGGGGGCAACCCUGAUGCAGCGACGCCGCGUGAGCGAUGAAGCCCUUCGGGGCGUAAAGCUCUUUCGACCGGAACGAUAAUGACGGUACCGGGAGAAGAAGCUGCGGCUAACUACGUGCCAGCAGCCGCGGUAAUACGUAGGCAGCAAGCGUUGUUCGGAGUUACUGGGCGUAAAGAGUGCGUAGGCGGUUUUCUAAGUUCGGUGUGAAAUCUCCCGGCUUAACUGGGAGGGUGCGCCGAAGACUGGGAAGCUGGAGUCUGGGAAAGGCAGGCGGAAUUCCUGGUGUAGCGGUGAAAUGCGUAGAUAUCGGGAGGAACACCGGCGGUGUAGACGGCUUGCUAGACCAUAACUGACGCUGAGGCACGAAAGCGUGGGUAGCAAA